AUGAAGACAUUUGUACCUACUUUAUUCAUGUUCUUGUGGCUGCAGCCGGAUGGGGUGAUCCAAGGUGAGCAGGUGGAGCAGCAUCCAUCCACCCUGAGAGUCCAGGAGGGAGCCAGCGCGGUCAUCAACUGCACUUACACAGACAGUACCUUGUCCUACUUCCCUUGGUAUAAGCAAGGACCUGGAGAGCAUCCUCAGCUUAUCAUUGACAUUCGUUCAACUGUGGAAAGAAAGCAGGAGCAAAGACUGGUCGUUUUACAGGAUAAGAAAACCAAACACUUUUCCCUGCACAUCACAGACACCCGGCCUGAAGACUCUGCCAUGUACUUCUGUGCUGCAAGUACACACUGCUCCACAUGCACCUGCAGCCUGUCCUCAAACCUGCCGCAGGGCCUGGAGCCCAGUCUACAUCCUGUGUCACAGGCCUCGAGUGCAGCAUGUGUCAGUUGUCAGUUGACAAGUGCCAACUACAGUGUGGACAUUAAUAACACACAAUAUAUACGUGGUGAUUGUCACAGAGAACCAGAAUCCCUGUGCUGCAGAAAAGAAGAGGCUGUGGCAUACUCAGCCCCAAGUGGGACAUCUAUAUCACAUGCCCUCAUCCCCAGGUCAGAGGUCACUGAGGAAGAGGAGUUGGAAAGACUGUAA